UGGAACCUCAGCUUUUGGUUCUGUUGCUGAUUGUUUCUUUGGUGGCUUCCAAAAAUGAUGAUACAAACAGUAGCAGCUGCAAUACCAAAGGAGCAAAUUGCUCCAAUCCCAUUCAAGCUCCACUUCCAUAAAUUAAAGCCACUAUUAUUCUCCUCCCAAUUAACCUCUUCCACUUCCAUAAUUUCUUUUUCAUUCUUGGUUCUUGGGGAACUAAUCUUGGUUUCCAAGGCAUCACCUGUAUCCUCAAAGUUAAACUUGCCAGCAUCA
rnacentral:misc_RNA from 1 species